rnacentral:rRNA from 1 species
AGUGAAUAGAUACCCAGGUAGUCCCAGCUGUAAACGAUGCGCGUUAGGUGUAUCGGUGACCACGAGUCAUCGAGGUGCCGAAGGGAAACCGUGAAACGUGCCGCCUGGGAAGUACGGUCGCAAGGCUGAAACUUAAAGGAAUUGGCGGGGGUAGCACCACAACGGGUGGAGCCUGCGGUUUAAUUGGACUCAACGCCGGGUCAGCUCACCGGAUAAGACAGCUGGAUGAUAGCCGGGUCUGAAGACUCUGCUUGACUAGCUGAGAGGAGGUGCAUGGCCGUCGUCAGUUCGUACUGUGAAGCAUCCUGUUAACGUCAGGUCAACGAGCGAGACCCGACGCCAACAGUUGCCAGCAUGUCCUCC